AUAAAAUGCCUUUGGUUAGGAAAAGAGGCAGACAUUAAGCCCAUGUUACAUAUGAAAGAGGUACAGAUGCCCUUAAAGUUUUUGAUGAAGUAAAGAGCAAGAUACUGUCCCAUCUGGCAGCAAUACUGUAUGACACUGUAUGACCAAUUCACAGACAAUUUGACAAAGAAUAACAAUAGAACACCAACAAUUCACAUAUAAGACAAUGUUUUAUGGUGAAUGGUUAUAGUAAUUUAGACAAGCAAAACAUGCAUUAAAGACUGUCAGUGUUGCUUGGAUUUUCUCCAUAUGGUCAUUUAAGAAGAAAAUUGAUAGAGGAAAGAUACAGAUAUGCAAGAAUUUAAUAUUUGAAAUGCACUUAAUAUUUCUUUUGUAUAUGACCAUUAAAUUUUGGCAGUCAUUGUUAUCUCUGCUAUACAAACAAA